AUGCUCUUUUAAGGUUGACACAGUGCCUCUAGAGGCUAACACAGAAAGAUAAAGGAAGCUUCUAUAAAACCCAGAGGUGUAGCCGGCACUGCAAAAUGGAACUUUAAAA
rnacentral:snoRNA from 1 species